rnacentral:rRNA from 1 species
GACGUAGGGCGCGAGCGUUGUCCGGAUUUAUUGGGCGUAAAGAGCUCGUAGGCGGCUUGUCGCGUCGUCCGUGAAAACCAGGGGCUCAACCCCUGGCUUGCGGUCGAUACGGGCAGGCUAGAGUUCGGUAGGGGAGACUGGAAUUCCUGGUGUAGCGGUGAAAUGCGCAGAUAUCAGGAGGAACACCGGUGGCGAAGGCGGGUCUCUGGGCCGAUACUGACGCUGAGGAGCGAAAGCUAGGGGAGCAAACGGG